UAUUAGCUAUCAUUGCUGAAAAGGGACAAA
rnacentral:piRNA from 1 species